CAAUUACAUACAGCUCUGGGAUUAGACGCGGUAGAGAAGGCAGAACCAUAUUUGUACAGUCACAAGAGCACCACACCUACAGAGAUGGCCUUGACAAUUUGGUAAAGAUCUUCGGUGAGUCCACCCCCCUGCAGAAAUUAACCUGUCAUGGUGCAGUGGGGUCACUGAGGGUGGAUCUGAAGUAUUCUGAGAGUAUUGCUCAGGACCAUUACAGACCAUGUCGCAUCUCCUCUUCCAUUUCUAUUUCUCAGCUGUCACCAAGGUAAAUCCGUUGCCAUGGCCACAACGAGCCCGGAUUUAAUUCCUUGAACCGGUUUCUGAUUGGCUCAGGUCUUUGUUUCCAACAAACACGGGAAAGUCUACCUCCAGGCUCCCCCUGCUGGGAGAAUGAACUCAACAUAAAACAAGUGCUGACCACAAGAUGGACGAGGAGGAGAGAAGAGUGAUGAUAGGUCCUAUCUGAUAUGCUUCCAUUGAUGUGCUUUGCGUGGCUUAUUAGGCUUCUAGCAGACUUUGUCUCACCUGUGCAUUAAGGCAAAUAAACUCAAAGAAUAAUGUUAAACGACUCUACGACUGUACUUUCCAUGGCAAAAAUCUUUGAGCAGAAAAAAAUGGUAAAGGUGGAAAGCCAAAACAAUUACACAUAAGUGAUGUUUUCAUGUUGCCACUCUGAGAAUACAGUCAGCUCUAUUAAACAAGGUGUUAUGUUUGGUUAACAAAAGGACACGCAACAAAGAGCUCAGAGAUUUUAAUGUGAAAAUUGCCAGCAGAAAAACUCAGAAUGAUAUUUAAAAAUAUUUCUAUCAAGUAUCGAGUUUAAUCUGCAAUGAUCCACCUGCAGAUUAUUAAUUCAUAAGUCUGUGUAUCAAACCAGAUCAGAAAGGAGAUUUCUAGAGUAGUUAAGACAGACUAACAAAUCAAACCUCCCCCAGAUUGAUUAAUCUGAAGCUCCAAACAAAAUCCACGUCCAGAUGUCUAAAAAACUUGACUCCCAAAAAACUUGACUCCCAGGGUUGCUCUCCAAAUGUUCACUCCACCUGCUGGUAGUCCUUGGAGAUGGGCUUAGGGCUGGCUUCCUCCCAAAACAAUCUGCUGACUCUUCAGGAAUGAAUCUAAGGCAGUGAGGUACAGGCAAAGCUAAAUUGGACUGGAAUUUUAAUUAAAGCCAGAAUAAUGCUAGCAGCAGUGUAGUGCAACAGUCUGGCAGAGAAUGAUAAGCAGAGCUGGUUUUAAGUACUGUAGAUGAGGGUGAUGAAGGUAACGAGCGACAGGUGUAUCAGUUAGAGUUUCGGUGGCCAUGCCUACUCCUGAGAGGAAGUAAGAAGAGUUAUUAUGCACAUACACACACACACACACACACACACACACACUGAGGCUAGGGAGAGGUAGACAGAGCAGUAGCAGAGAGACAGAGAGAAAGGUUGGUCAGCACUUGGAAGGCAAGACGGAGCUUAACACAAGGACCUUAGCUUGUGGACAAGAGAAGUCAGAGUACAUUUAUGCUCCAAGACUGAAAAAAACCCUAGAAAUCUCACACCAGUCCUCGGUUCAUUCAUGCUUUGCAAGUGUGUGUACCAGUUCCAGUACCACAUUCAUAUAACCAAGCCUGUCUUCAGUGAAUUGUAUGAGUCAGUACUGCCACCUACUGCCUGAUGCGUGCUUUUCAGCCUGGCUAACAAAUGCUGAUUUUUUUUCUUUCUCCCAAGGUAACUCUUUAGUUUUGCUCAUGAAACACUACUAAAAUCAGGUCGACCAAGCCUACUGACCUGCGUCACACCUCACUUAACCCUGCAAUAUGUAUUACUGUGUGAAAAUCUACUUUCCAAGCUUCAUUUGAAUCCAAAUGUUUUUUCUUUGUUUACACUCUUUGACAAAUCUAUAUGUGAAAAAUUCUGACAUGUGAUACUCUGUUCUUUUUUGUAGAGUAAUAAGGUCACAAUCUACAUGUGAUUUCAAAAUAAAAUAAUAACAAUGAAGAUGACUGAUAACCUCCCCUCUUUACGCAUACCCAGCCACAUAACAGAAUCAGAGACAGCAGUAAGUCCAGCCAGCCAGCCUGUUCAGUUAAACAGUUAUUUAUUCUGUAAGAGAGUAUGGACAUUAUCAACAGUCUAGUAACAAAUAGGUUACCAUUCAGCCAUUCAGAAGUUUUUCCUUUAUUACAUAUUAUGUACAAUUUUGUGCCAGAUUUGAAGUAAAAUGUCAAAUGCUGACACUCAACCUAUGAAGUGACUAUAAUGCAUCAGUGCGAAGUAUGAGAAGUAUAGGACGAUGUUAAAUCAAAGUGUGCACUACGGUCUUUUAGAGGUGUAGAAAAUGUUUAAAAACUGGCACAUUUUUCACAUCAACACUGUUAACAUAAAGUACAUCCAGUACUACAUAAACUGAGAAAAAAAAUUAAUAAGGAAGACUCAAUAAAGUUUUGUCAUAAAAAAACAAAACAAAUCUUUUUUUUUGUAGGUUGUGGUUUAUGGUCUCUAAACACUAACCAUUUGAUUGAUUUGAUAUUGCAAAUGCAAGAUUACGAUGAUGACGUUAGGGUUUGCGUUUACAAUUUUGUCCACAGUGCCAAAAUUUCUCAGUUUAUCAAGAUGUAGAGCUUUUCCUACCCAGAAGGCUACUGUGCCACCCUUAAAAAUCAAAAUGAAAUUCUGACACAAACGCAGAUUAAAGUACAUCUUGGACUCUCUAAGACAGACGACAUAACUGUGAGACUUUCGAGAGUUAUAAUUUUAACCUCACAGCACUUAAAUAAUGUAGCCGUUCAAUACACAGUGGUCAGAAUGGAAAACUCUGCAUGUUAUUUCUGUUGUUUUACAAACCCUCGUAUUAUUAUUAUUGUUAUUAUUAUUAUGUGAUUGACUGAACUUCCUGUCUUUGCUGUUGGGUCCCACUGGGAGCAAAAGAAAUAACUUUAAGACAACCCAGCAACACUGUUGUCAUAUUAGCAAGCCAAAUGCAUCACUUACUGUGUUAAAUAUUGCAUUUCUCUAAAUGGCUUAGACAAAACUGGUCUUUAAAGAUUCUGGGAGGUAUUUAUUUGCUGUAGCUGAGCCUGUACUGAAAGAUUCGAAAACAGUUUUCAACCCCAUCCUGCUUAGACCCACGAUUAAGACAGAAAUUUAGACAGACAUCAGUGAAAACAGGCAGACAGGAAGACGAUAAGCAGAAAGACACAAUUACUCAAACAGGAACGGAAACAGAUGUGACGACACAGACGCACGCACACACACUCAGAAAAGAGUAAACAGAAACAGAUGCUUCAAGUGCAGAAAACACUCACAGACUCACACGUGAGCAUAAAACCACAUUCAUUAGAGUAAUAAGGCACAGACAACAACCAGAAUACAAUUCAAAAAUAAAUGUACAAAAGUUAUUGUCACAAAAUCUCUUCAAUUAUAUGAAAUUAAAAAUAUUCCCAAAUUUAUUUGAGUUGGGUUUUUUUUAUUUGCUUGAAAACCUGAUAAGUUUAUUUUUUCUUUCAGUAGAUUGCGUGUUGUAUAAAUUGCGGGCGUUACGUAAAUGUUUUGCACUCAUGUUUAUUUCAUUUUAGAUAAAGAUCAAAAUGAGAAAACAACUUCCUGAAAAUCAAGGCAACAAACCUUAAGCAGUAACACCCUUUGGUUGUUUAUCAUUUCUUUAAAAAUAUAUUUUUAAAAAGAACAAAAAAAAGUCCAAUUAAAAUCUGGAAGUUUAAACAAUCAAAAAUCUUUGACAAACACAAUGUGUGACGUUUUUCAAGACAUCAACUUCAGUAGACAGAGUUAAACACUCUUAUCAGAAACACUGCCAUACAUUUUCUGGGUUGCUUAACUGUACAAACAGACAACCGUAACCAGUUUCCAUAACAACAAAAGGGUUAUGAAGUCUCGAAUAGAUGGGAAACACAAUGAGCGACCGGAUUGUGGUAUAAAAAAAGUGCCUUGUCGUGAUGUGUUAUCAGUACUUUGAUGCCUAUACAUUAAAUGAUUUCUAUAAAUACAAGAUAAAUAAAAGAUAUGUAAAAUACAAUGUAGUCUUCAUUUCUUCAUUAGCAUUUCUAUGUACAGAGUAUUACAAUUGUGUUCAGGAACCAAGCAGCAUGACGGCUGGAAACAAAUCAACUUUGUCAAAACUGUCGUUUAGAACAGCAAGAUUUGAGCUGGGGCGUUGCUCCAAAACACAGUUAUCAACAGUUUGAAAAAUGACGAUUCAAACAUUUAAAGGUUUACGUGUCAACAACCUGGAGCAUCUGUUUUUGUUUCUACACACAUGAUUACGACAAUAAGAUAAAAGUGUUUUCCUGGAUUUACAUUCACUUUGGAAGACGACCCCUUCAAUUCUUGCUGCUUUCUUAAGCACUCGCUCUAGAGCCCCAUUCAUGCAAACUCCGCACUGAAUCUUUCAAGUGCACUUUAAUCUUAUAAAACUACAUAAGGACUGGCCUGUGCACCUCAGGCUUAUUAGCAUAAAACAGCUCUUCUCUUAGAAACAGUCAUACAGUCGAAAUAAAAAAAAGAGACAAACAUUAAACUGAAGCGGCCUAAUCACACCACCCUGUAGGCCAGCUGUGACACAUUUCUUCACGAAAGCCGCAGCCAGAUUAGAUUGAGUGGUUUCCUGCCCUCAUUCUUUUCUCUACUUUAAUUUGAACUUCCUAAGCCUAAAAACUGAAGGAGCUUAACAGUCAAUAAUAUAUGUGUACAUUUAUAGAAUUCCUUCUCUCACUCCAUGCUUGUAAGGAUACAUAUCAGGGGAAAGGGGGCAUCUGAUGACUUACAAGCCUUCACAAGAUAUAAAGACAAUAUAAGGGGACUGCACUUUAUUAAGGAAGGACUAAAAUCCAGUGAAAAGGUUUUGCUUCCAUAGCGAAAAUACACAAACCCAUGUGAUAAAAGGCCUUGUUAUGUCUGAAAAAUCAUUCAAUGGAAAUAGUAUGUUUUUGGUCCAAACAGUAGACCAGACAGUCUUUUUUUUAAAAUUCACUGAGUGUGUGCAGCUCUUAUUAUUCACUGUGAGCUGAUGAUGCUAAUUAUUUGCUCUCUUAUCUCAGUGCUCACACAAAAGGGAAUCCUCAGAGCAGCAAAUGGACAACCGGCCCUGAAAGCACACAAACGUCUGGCACACUUCCUGUAGCAUUAAUGAAUCCACAUUUUUACUCUGAAAGAAAAAAAAAAA